AUUGAACGCUGGCGGCAUGCUUUACACAUGCAAGUCGAGCGGCAGCGCGGGGGCAACCCUGGCGGCGAGCGGCGAACGGGUGAGUAAUACAUCGGAACGUGUCCCGUAGUGGGGGAUAGCUCGGCGAAAGCCGGAUUAAUACCGCAUAUGCUCUACGGAGGAAAGCGGGGGACCCGCAAGGGCCUCGCGCUAUGGGAGCGGCCGAUGUCCGAUUAGCUAGUUGGUGGGGUAAAGGCCCACCAAGGCGACGAUCGGUAGCUGGUCUGAGAGGAUGAUCAGCCACACUGGGACUGAGACACGGCCCAGACUCCUACGGGAGGCAGCAGUGGGGAAUUUUGGACAAUGGGGGAAACCCUGAUCCAGCCAUGCCGCGUGCGGGAAGAAGGCCUUCGGGUUGUAAACCGCUUUUGUCCGGAAAGAAAAGGCGUCUCCUAAUACGGGACGCUCUUGACGGUACCGGAAGAAUAAGCACCGGCUAACUACGUGCCAGCCGCCGCGGUAA
rnacentral:rRNA from 1 species